rnacentral:lncRNA from 1 species
UAAUCUAUGGAGUGUAGAAACUCUACCGUUAAAAAUACAUAAGUGAAAGGUCCAGGCAUGGCCGAGAUGGCCAGCCCCCCUGAUCUAAGAACCAGACGUUCAAAGAUAUAAAAAUGAUCCAAAGAUGGUUCAAGAGAUGAAAGAUCUAUAAUACAAUAGUAAAAGGUCCUAUUUAUAAUAAACUAGCUACUAGGGUUUACAUGAGUAAGUAAUUGAUGCAUAAAUCCACNNNNN